rnacentral:rRNA from 1 species
CAUUAAAGAGUAAGGGUGCUCAGCGCCCGACCUCCAACCCUUUGUUGUUAAAACUACCUUGUUGCUUUGGCGGGACCGCUCGGUCUCGAGCCGCUGGGGAUUCGUCCCAGGCGAGCGCCCGCCAGAGUUAAACCAAACUCUUGUUAUUAAACCGGUCGUCUGAGUUAAAAUUUUGAAUAAAUCAAAACUUUCAACAACGGAUCUCUUGGUUCUCGCAUCGAUGAAGAACGCAGCGAAAUGCGAUAAGUAAUGUGAAUUGCAGAAUUCAGUGAAUCAUCGAAUCUUUGAACGCACAUUGCGCCCCUUGGUAUUCCGAGGGGCAUGCCUGUUCGAGCGUCAUUACACCACUCAAGCUAUGCUUGGCAUUGGGUGCCGUCCUUAGCUGGGCGCGCCUUAAAGACCUCGGCGAGGCCACUCCGGCUUUAGGCGUAGUAGAAUUUAUUCGAACGUCUGUCAAAGGAGAGGAACUCUGCCGAUUGAAACCUUUUAUUUUUCUAGGUUGACCUCGGAUCAGGUAGGGAUACCCGCUGAACUUAAGCAUAUCAAUAAGCGGAGGAAAAGAAACCAACAGGGAUUGCCCUAGUAACGGCGAGUGAAGCGGCAACAGCUCAAAUUUGAAAGCUAGCCUUCGGGUUCGCAUUGUAAUUUGUAGAGGAUGCUUUGGGUAAAACGCCAGUCUAAGUUCCCUGGAACAGGACGUCAUAGAGGGUGAGAAUCCCGUAUGUGACUGGAAAUGUUGACCUAUGUAAAGCUCCUUCGACGAGUCGAGUUGUUUGGGAAUGCAGCUCUAAAUGGGAGGUAAAUUUCUUCUAAAGCUAAAUAUUGGCGAGAGACCGAUAGCGCACAAGUAGAGUGAUCGAAAGAUGAAAAGCACUUUGGAAAGAGAGUUAAAAAGCACGUGAAAUUGUUGAAAGGGAAGCGCUUGCAAUCAGACUUGUUUAAACUGUUCGGCCGGUCUUCUGACCGGUUUACUCAGUUUGGACAGGCCAGCAUCAGUUUCGGCGGCCGGAUAAAGGCUCUGGGA